GGGGAAGGGGCGGGGAAGGGGCGACUCUUCUGGAAGCGGAGCCGGGCUGCCACCUGGACUUGCGCACUGAGCGGGGUCUCAUCUCGACAGCCCUUGGGGCGCGUGCUGAGGAGGUCUGUCGGCACCGAGUCACUUUUGUCUGAACACAGUACCUAAGGGACAGAGCGUGCUGUGGCGUUUUCUCCCGCCUGCCAAAGGCUCCGGCUCAGGCAACGUCUUACAUCUUUGAUGCUGAUGAAAGGCGCCUGCCUCCUUGUGUGGUAAUACAUCAUUUGACGAUGCUCGUAUCUGCUGUACUUUAUAAUAAACUUACUUUCAACUUUUUUAAA